GGGGUUGUUGCUUAUAGCACUCUCCACUAAUCUAUGCCCCUCACAAAGUAUGGCUUAUGUUGAUGAUAUAUUUUUGGAAUGUUGAUAAGGUCCAGAGCUGACAGCCAAGAAAGAAUUCUUGAGAUGUCUUUGGUGCAAUAAAGGUGAUUGUACUAAAGUACGGGGACAGGACCCGUGGGCAGAAAGAGCGGCUGCAACUGGGGUUUCGAGGAAUGGCUGAUGAUAUACUUGGGACUUGGAGGAGGGCAGCCAGCAGUAUCUGAAGAGUAUCACACACAUCCCACCAAGGAGCAGGACCAAGCACGGUGCCUGGCCCAAACUAUGUGGUGUUUUGAAAAUCAACUGGACAGUUCUCCUGUGCUCAUGGAUUUGGUCUCUGGUUUCUGGUUUUCAGGAUAAUAGCAAUGAAAAAUAUGACCUAAGUGUUGAAAAUCAGUUAAGCAUCUAGCU